rnacentral:rRNA from 1 species
GAAUCUUCCACAAUGUGCGAAAGCCUGAUGGAGCAACGCCGCGUGAGUGAAGAAGGUUUUCGGAUCGUAAAACUCUGUUGUAAGGGAAGAACAAGUACAGUAGUAACUGGCUGUACCUUGACGGUACCUUCUCAGACAGCCACGGCUAACUACGUGCCAGCGGCCGCGGUAAUACGUAGGUGGCAAGCGUUGCCCGGAAUUAUUUGGGGUCAGGCGCGCGGAGGCGGUCCUUUAAGUCUGAUGUGAAAGCCCACGGCUCAACCGUGGAGGGUGAUUGGAAACUGGGAGACUUGAGUGCAGAAGAGGAAAGUGGAAUUCCAAGUGUAGCGGUGAAAUGCGUAGAGAUUUGGAGGAACACCAGUGGCGAAGGCGACUUUCUGGUCUGUAACUGACGCUGAGGCGCGAAAGCGUGGGGAGCAAACAGG